rnacentral:rRNA from 1 species
UUCUUUAAGAAACUAAUUUAAAGUAAAACCUGCUCAAUGAAUAUUAAAUAGCCGCAGCUUAGCCUGUGCUAAGGUAGCAUAAUCACUAGCUUUAUAAUUAAAAGAUAGAAUGAAUGGUCAAAUGAAGAAACUAUUGUCUCCUAUAGCCCAAUUAAAUUAAUAUAAAGGUAAAAACCCCUUUUUAAAAAAGAAAGACGACAAGACCCCGACAAACUAUACUUUUAGCUGGGGCGGCACUUUAAAAAAACCUUAAUUUAUAAAACAAACUAAACCAUAAAAAUGAUAAAGAACAGUUACUGCGGGGAUAACAGCGCAACUCUUUUAUAAAGCUCAUAUAUAAUAAAGACUCUACGACCUCGAUGUUGAAUUAAAUCCCUUCAAGGCGCAAAAGCUCUGAUACGGCGGUCUGUUCGACCAAUAAAAAUUU